rnacentral:rRNA from 1 species
UACGUAGGGGGCAAGCGUUGUCCGGAUUUAUUGGGCGUAAAGAGCGUGUAGGCGGCUAGAUAGGUCCGUUGUGAAAACUCGAGGCUCAACCUCGAGACGUCGACGGAAACCGUCUGGCUAGAGUCCGGAAGAGGAGUGUGGAAUUCCUGGUGUAGCGGUGAAAUGCGCAGAUAUCAGGAAGAACACCUAUGGCGAAGGCAGCACUCUGGGACGGUACUGACGCUGAGACGCGAAAGCGUGGGGAGCGAACAGG